AUGGGCGAAGCCUGAUGCAGCAACGCCGUGUGAGCGAUGAGGGCCUUAGGGUCGUAAAGCUCUGUUGUUAGGGACGAAGGGCGAAGGGUUAAUAGCCCUUAGCCUGACGGUACCUUUCGAGGAAGCCCCGGCUAACUACGUGCCAGCAGCCGCGGUAAUACGUAGGGGGCGAGCGUUGUCCGGAAUUAUUGGGCGUAAAGGGCGCGUAGGCGGCCUGGUAAGUCUGCUGUGAAACCUUGGGGCUCAACCCCAAGCGUGCAGUGGAUACUGUCAGGCUAGAGGAUGGUAGAGGCCAGUGGAAUUCCCGGUGUAGCGGUGAAAUGCGCAGAUAUCGGGAGGAACACCAGUAGCGAAGGCGGCUGGCUGGGCCAUUCCUGACGCUGAGGCGCGAAAGCUAGGGGAGCGAACAGGAUUAGAUACCCUGGUAGUCCUAGCCGUAAACGAUGAACACUAGGUGUGGGGGGAGUCGAAUCCCUCCGUGCCGAAGCCAACGCGUUAAGUGUUCCGCCUGGGGAGUACGGCCGCAAGGCUAAAACUCAAAUGAAUUGACGGGGAAUCACUAGUGAAUUCGCGGCCGCCUGCAGGUCGACCAUAUGGGAGAGCUCCCAACGCGUUGGAUGCAUAGCUUGAGUAUUCWGGGGGNCCCCCC
rnacentral:rRNA from 1 species